rnacentral:rRNA from 1 species
AUGAACGCUAGCUACAGGCUUAACACAUGCAAGUCGAGGGGCAGCAUGAACUUAGCUUGCUAAGUUUGAUGGCGACCGGCGCACGGGUGAGUAACACGUAUCCAACCUGCCGAUGACUCGGGGAUAGCCUUUCGAAAGAAAGAUUAAUACCCGAUGGCAUAGUUCUUCCGCAUGGUAGAACUAUUAAAGAGUUUCGGUCAUCGAUGGGGAUGCGUUCCAUUAGGUUGUUGGCGGGGUAACGGCCCACCAAGCCUUCGAUGGAUAGGGGUUCUGAGAGGAAGGUCCCCCACAUUGGAACUGAGACACGGUCCAAACUCCUACGGGAGGCAGCAGUGAGGAAUAUUGGUCAAUGGACGAGAGUCUGAACCAGCCAAGUAGCGUGAAGGAUGACUGCCCUAUGGGUUGUAAACUUCUUUUAUACGGGAAUAAAGUGAGGCACGUGUGCCUUUUUGUAUGUACCGUAUGAAUAAGGAUCGGCUAACUCCGUGCCAGCAGCCGCGGUAAUACGGAGGAUCCGAGCGUUAUCCGGAUUUAUUGGGUUUAAAGGGAGCGUAGGCGGACGCUUAAGUCAGUUGUGAAAGUUUGCGGCUCAACCGUAAAAUUGCAGUUGAUACUGGGUGUCUUGAGUACAGUAGAGGCAGGCGGAAUUCGUGGUGUAGCGGUGAAAUGCUUAGAUAUCACGAAGAACUCCGAUUGCGAAGGCAGCUUGCUGGACUGUAACUGACGCUGAUGCUCGAAAGUGUGGGUAUCAAACAGGAUUAGAUACCCUGGUAGUCCACACAGUAAACGAUGAAUACUCGCUGUUUGCGAUAUACAGUAAGCGGCCAAGCGAAAGCGUUAAGUAUUCCACCUGGGGAGUACGCCGGCAACGGUGAAACUCAAAGGAAUUGACGGGGGCCCGCACAAGCGGAGGAACAUGUGGUUUAAUUCGAUGAUACGCGAGGAACCUUACCCGGGCUUGAAUUGCAACUGAAUGAUGUGGAGACAUGUCAGCCGCAAGGCAGUUGUGAAGGUGCUGCAUGGUUGUCGUCAGCUCGUGCCGUGAGGUGUCGGCUUAAGUGCCAUAACGAGCGCAACCCUUAUCGAUAGUUACCAUCAGGUUAUGCUGGGGACUCUGUCGAGACUGCCGUCGUAAGAUGUGAGGAAGGUGGGGAUGACGUCAAAUCAGCACGGCCCUUACGUCCGGGGCUACACACGUGUUACAAUGGGGGGUACAGAAGGCAGCUACACGGCGACGUGAUGCUAAUCCCUAAAGCCUCUCUCAGUUCGGAUUGGAGUCUGCAACCCGACUCCAUGAAGCUGGAUUCGCUAGUAAUCGCGCAUCAGCCACGGCGCGGUGAAUACGUUCCCGGGCCUUGUACACACCGCCCGUCAAGCCAUGAAAGCCGGGGGUACCUGAAGUGCGUAACCGCAAGGAGCGCCCUAGGGUAAAACUGGUGAUUGGGGCU